CCACUAAAUAGAUUUUAACUAACAAAGUAAUACUAUUAUGACAAUAUGAAGUCCCAUUGGAGGCUUUCAUCCGGUCCAGCCUGAAGACAAAAAAAUAUUUAUUAAAAAGUUUAAAAAUUAUUAAUAAUAUAGAAAUACUAAAUAUCUGACAACAUUACAAAAUACUAACAUAAUUAAAGCAUAAAUAUUCCUUGCUCCUUUUGUAUUCUUAUUACAAAUAAUUUUAAUUAAAUUAAAAAUACAUAACUUACUUUUUUAAACAGUAAAACCAAAACAUUAAACUCGUCGUACAUUUCCUUAAUUUAUAUAUUAUUUAUUUCUAUGAAAAAUAUAAGACUCAAAGUAAAAUUGAUGGAAUGCUAAAGAUCCCCUGUGUUGUGGGUGACCAGAUUGUAUAGUGCCUGGGUUAGGUUAGGUUAAUCUUACCAAAUGUGUGUUUAAGUGUGGAAACUGAGUCCACACUACUCAGAGUCAUAGCGAAACAUGAAGUAUUGAUUCUGUGGAAUCAAAAUCCAAAUGUAACAAGCCCAUACUUUAUAUAUCUCACUCAAUAGCAUUAAAAUAGCAUUCCAGAAACAUGUACAGUAUGGUACACUUUCAUAUUCACAAGAAACAAAUCACUGCAAUAGUGGUCGAUAUCUAAAAUGAUUGUACAAUUAUCCAAUGGUAUUAGUCUUUCUUAAUACUUAAUAU